UUCCCUACGGGACGCAGCAGUGGGGAAUAUUGCACAAUGGGGGGAACCCUGAUGCAGCGACGCCGCGUGGGUGAAGAAGUCAUUCGUGACGUAAAGCCCUAUCAGCAGGGAAGAAAAUGACGGUACCUGAAGAAGAAGCCCCGGCUAACUACGUGCCAGCAGCCGCGGUAAUACGUAGGGGGCAAGCGUUAUCCGGAUUUACUGGGUGUAAAGGGAGCGCAGGCGGCGCGUUAAGCCUGGUGUGAAAGCCCGCGGCCCAACCGCGGGACUGCAUUGGGAACUGGCGCGCUGGAGUGCCGGAGGGG
rnacentral:rRNA from 1 species